GACGAACGCUGGCGGCGUGCUUAACACAUGCAAGCCGAACGGUAAGGCCCUUCGGGGUACACGAGUGGCGAACGGGUGAGUAACACGUGGGUGAUCUGCCCUGCACUUCGGGAUAAGCCUGGGAAACUGGGUCUAAUACCGGAUAGGACCACUGCCUGCAUGGGGGGUGGUGGAAAGCUUUUGCGGUGUGGGAUGGGCCCGCGGCCUAUCAGCUUGUUGGUGGGGUGAUGGCCUACCAAGGCGACGACGGGUAGCCGGCCUGAGAGGGUGGCCGGCCACACUGGGACUGAGAUACGGCCCAGACUCCUACGGGAGGCAGCAGUGGGGAAUAUUGCUCAAUGGGCGCAAGCCUGAUGCAGCGACGCCGCGUGAGGGAUGACGGCCUUCGGGUUGUAAACCUCUUUCAGCACCGACGAAGCGCAAGUGACGGUAGGUGCAGAAGAAGGACCGGCCAACUACGUGCCAGCCGCCGCGGUAACAC
rnacentral:rRNA from 1 species